UACGUAGGGUGCAAGCGUUGUCCGGAUUUAUUGGGCGUAAAGAGCUCGUAGGCGGUCUGUCGCGUCGGAUGUGAAAACCCAGGGCUCAACCCUGGGCCUGCAUUCGAUACGGGCAGACUAGAGUGUGGCAGGGGAGACUGGAAUUCCUGGUGUAGCGGUGAAAUGCGCAGAUAUCAGGAGGAACACCGGUGGCGAAGGCGGCAUCCUGGACCGGCAUUGACGCUGAGGAGCGAAAGCCAGGGGAGCAAACGGG
rnacentral:rRNA from 1 species